UUGCAGCAUCAAGAAGCCUUCGUAGCUGAAGGCGGCAACCGAGCCCACACCGGGCCGCGGUGCCACCCACAACGGGGAUGCGGCGCGACGAGCGCAAACACCAACGGUGCUCGUGGCGCAAACGGCUGGCGAAGGUC
rnacentral:ncRNA from 1 species